AACGUCGAAACUCGAGUGCCCUAUUUUAUUCUACGAGAAAUUCAGUUUUUACUAUGUUCCAUCGUCACAAAUGCUACCAGAAAAGUGUGAUGCUUAGCUACAGACACACCAUUGUCAGAUAAAGCCAACCUCUUCAGAUGUAGAUGCAUGAUGGGAAUAUAGCCCAGCUUCAACCAUUCAAUGAUGACUUCUUCAACAGGAGGGAAGAGGCUAGCUGCAGACACACCAUCAUUAGAUGAAGUCUAGCUCUCCAUCAGAAGUAGAUGCAUGAAGCUAUCAAGAUUCAAGGAUAUCUUCUGACAGGCUAGACUUGUACAAACACGCCAUUGUCACAUGAAGUCUACUUUUCCAGUAGUAGAUGUAUGAUGAGCAUGCUGCCCAGUGUCAAGGAUGUAUUCCCCAGCAAAAGGCUAGCUGCUGACAUAAUUAUGCCAGAUGAAGUCUUCCUCUCCAGAAGUAGAUACAUACAUGAAGCCCACCCUCAAGGUUUAAGGAUGUCUUCAUCAACAGCCUGGCUACAGACACUUCAUUGUCAGAUGAACUCCACUCUCCAGAAGUAGUUAUGCAUGAGGGGAAUGCUGCCGAGUGUCAAUAUAGAACGAUGUCCAGCAACAGGCUAGAGCCAGACAUGCCAUUGUCAGAUGAAGUCUACCCCUCCAAAAGUAAACGAAUCCUGCCCAGUGUCAAGAUACAACGAUGUCUUCUCCUGCAAAAGUGAGGGUCACAUCUCUAGAGAGGUCUACUCAUCAACCAAGUAGAUGUCUGAGACCUGCAGCUGAUAUGCUACCUAACAAUGUGUAACGAGUCUCGUAAAUGAACUGCUCCCAUUUUAAUAAAAGAUAUUUCUGUCUGAUCCAAAAAGUAUAUUCCUGAGAUCUGCCUGUGCCUAACAUUGGCCUAUCGUCUACACAUCAACACAUAGAUGUGUGAAGCUAAAAACAGCAUGAGAACGCUGAUAUGCUUCAACCAAGUGUGUUGCAAAUAACCAUUACUACGAUCAUGAAAGGUUAAAAGAUUGAGGAGAGCAACGCUUCAAGGCAUUCUACGCAUCAAGUCAUUAUGGAUGAACAACCGACCAACUUGUUGAUUACAUUUGUAAACGCGUAGACUUUUUAACUAACGAUGUUUAGUACAUUUCCUUACUUCUACAUGAAUGUUAUUGUAAAAAGUAAGUGCACCAUUUGCAAGCAAGCACACAAUGUUUAUUUUAAACUCAUUAAGUCAGAGAUCUGGGUAGUAAUGUUUGGACUGGAAGUAAAAAGCACUGAUUGUGCAAUGGUACGAUUACUGGCUAUGUGAUGGUUCAAUGAAUAGUGGAAUGAGUGGUUUGAUAAAAUAGUGGUGUGGUGGCCAAGCUCUGGACUAACCUUACCAGGAUAAAAUUGCCCAGAUAACACUGCUUGCAAGGUGCACCUAUUUUAUUCAAAAAUUUAAUUUAAAACAAUCUUAAAGUAUUACAGACAUGGUAUUUUUUCAGAUUUCGGAUUUCAAUUUAACUCAACUGAACAAGUCUGUGCAAAAGCCCCAAAGCAAACACCACAUGUACUUGAAGGUCAAUAAAAUGUUCCUUCCUCAUUCUCAAAGGCCAAAAGCCUUUAAUAUAAGUACUUCUAUUUUCAUUUUAUGACUUUGUGUUCAUGAGCUACAAUGGACAAAUCCUUGAAAGAAAUGAAAUAAAAUUUCUAAAUCCAAAGCUUACAUUUUGUGAGAAUGUUCUUCACAAAUGAGGUCUUAUUUGUGACUGCUCAAGUAAAACCCUAUUUACUUUUGACCCAAUUUGGGGAUAAGCAGUGAGAUUUUGGUAUUUACCUUGAAAAUUCUAAAAAAUAUGCUGAGUGAAAAUAUGGUCCAUUGGCUCAAUUAUAUUCAAUUUCAUGGUUGUCCCACAUUUAUUGUAGUUGCCAAAUGUUUGGGGUUUUAAAAUCAAACUGAUGAAUGCGCACAGAAUGUCUGCAAAACAGACAUCUUUGCUAUAAUAGCUUAACAUAAAAACCUAACUUGAUGACAAGUUUGCAGGUUGAGUUGAAUGAAUUUACUUUUGAGUGUAGUUAAUCCACUUUGUAAUGAGCAGCAGAGAGCUGUUUAUAAUAUAAAACAUUAUGCGAAACGGCUGCCUCUGAAGUAACGUAAAGUUUUUAAAGUGUACCUCAAAAUCAUUAAACCUUAAAGGCACUGUACAUGUUUGGUAAUUACUUUAAAUAUAUAUUAGCAUAAAACCUUACUUG